GCGGACAGGCUCCCGCCUCUCAGCGCCCCCUCCCCCGCGCCCGCCUCUGCGGCUGCGCGCUGGCGGGGCCGAGGCCGAGGGGAGGGGGUCGCGCCGGGGGCCCGCGGAGCUGCGGCGGCGGCGGCGGCGGCGGCGAGAGGCAGAGCGAGCCCGGCGGCCGCGGGCAGACCCGGAGGGAACGGAGGAAGCGGUCAUGUCUCGCUACACGAGGCCCCCCAACACCUCCCUGUUCGUCAGGAACGUCGCGGACGCCACCAGGCCUGAGGACUUGCGCCGUGAGUUUGGUCGAUAUGGCCCUAUAGUAGACGUUUACAUCCCACUUGACUUCUACACCCGCCGCCCAAGAGGAUUUGCUUAUGUCCAAUAUCCUUUAUCUUACCGUGUGCAUGUGAAUGUACUGCAUACAUGUGCAUAUACGUGUGUAUGUAUUCAGGAGCAUAUGUUAUGAGAUUAAUAUUGCCUAAUUAAAUGUGUUUAUUUCUUUAUCUCAGAAAAUGUAAAGCAGUCCACAGUAGCUGGCAAGCGCCCCCCAGUUUGAACCAACCUGUUAGCUAGAAUCCAAGCAUAAACCGAGCAGGCGAGACAAGGCACCUAAAGUUCAAGCAUCAAGGAGUAAAGAGGGAGGGUGGACACAGAUAUAAAGACCUGGAAGAGGGGAAGUCUUUAUCAAGAAAGACAAAGCCAACAGCAGGUUGAGACUUCGGCUUUCCUACAUUUACUCAGAGUUCCAGAGUCAAAGCCAAGUCUGGUUUUGUUGGUUCUGCGUCUCUUAGAAAGUCCAUCUUGCAAGCCUUAAAGAGUAAAGGUCAAGGUUCAAGAUCAAGUGACAUUGAGUAUCCUUAACAGCUAGUCAUAUUUGAAGAUGUUCGUGAUGCUGAAGAUGCUCUUUACAACCUCAAUAGAAAGUGGGUAUGUGGCCGUCAAAUUGAAAUACAGUUUGCACAAGGUGAUCGCAAAACACCAGGCCAAAUGAAAUCAAAAGAACGUCACCCGUGUUCUCCAAGUGAUCAUAGGAGAUCAAGAAGCCCCAGCCAAAGGAGAACUCGAAGUAGAAGUUCUUCAUGGGGAAGAAAUAGGAGGCGGUCUGAUAGCCUUAAAGAGUCUCGACACAGGCGAUUUUCUUACAGCCAGUCUAAAUCUCGCUCCAAAUCACUACCAAGGCGUUCUACCUCAGCAAGGCAGUCAAGAACUCCAAGAAGGAAUUCUGGUUCUAGAGGACGAUCAAGGUCAAAGUCCUUACAAAAAAGGUCCAAGUCCAUAGGAAAAUCACAAUCAAGUUCACCUCAAAAGCAGACUAGCUCAGGAACAAAAUCAAGAUCACAUGGAAGACAUUCUGACUCCAUAGCAAGAUCCCCAUGUAAAUCUCCCAAAGGGUAUACCAAUUCUGAAACUAAAGCACAGACAGCAAAACAUUCUCACUUUCGAUCACAUUCAAGAUCUCGGAGUUAUCGUCAUAAAAACAGUUGGUGAACAGAACAAAAGAGCGCUACAUAGUCUUUCAUAUAAGUUAUUAAACCUCUCAUUAUGUUAAAUAAAAAUUCUUCAAGGCUUACAGAAAAUGUGAGUUGAUAUUAGUUACUUUGGGCAUGUGCAAGAAAUAAAAUCUCUCUAGCUUUGGAUCAAUAAAGAUUUGGUCUCAGUUUAAGGGCCCACACCACAAAUUAUGAUGUGUCUAAUGUCACCAUUUUAUGGACCAUUUUUUGUUUACAUUGUGGCAGAAGGGUACUUUUCAAAGGAAAUGGGUAAAAUGGAACUAAUUUAGAAAAUUCUAUUUGGAUAUUAAGUAUUAGGAAACUUAAUAAUACCUUUUACAAAAAUAUUUUUUACUUUAAAGCACUUUACUUUCAUGUAAAAAGUAAUUAUGACUGUAUAAUUGCAUAGGGCAGGCUUAAACUAUUUGACACCUUGUGUCUCUUUUUUUGUCUUCUGUUUAAACACGGGCCAAUUCAUAGUGGAUAUUAAUUCAUAUUGCAAAAUUAUGACAUUCCUAAAAGUAGAAUUUAUAUAGAGAUCAGGCAUUCAAAAGAUACAUUCUUUGCUGAGCUCAAAAAAUGUUUUAUUUUUAUUAGUGGAAUGGUAUAGAUAAGUUGACAUCAAAUUGCGUCCUGUACCAUGUUCAUUCACUUCAGAGUAUCCAAAACGUUUUAGAAAUACUGAAUUUUGGGCCAGCCCCAAUGGCCUAGUGGUUAACUUUGGCAUGGCCUGGGUUUGGUUCCCCGCCACGGACCUGUACCACUCGUCUGUCAGUGGCCAUGCUGUGGUGGCAGCUCACAUACAAAAAGAGGAAGAUUGGCAGUGGAGGUUAGCUCAGGGCGAAUCUUCCUCAGCAAAAAAGAAGAAGAAUUUUGAAUUGUUUGAGAAUACUUCUCUAAAAAAUGUGUGCAACACUCACAAUCCAAAAAUAUUCAUAUUAAGCCUUACACAUUUGAAGAGUGUACAUUUUGUAUAAAAAUCAUAUUUUAUACCAUUAUUUCUACAUACUUACCUUUCAUCUACUGCUUAAUUUUUUCUUUUUAGAGUUCUAGCUCAAGACUUUAAAUUGUAUAGAGUAAGUCUUACUUUUUGAAAGAGUGUUUAGUACCUUGUAUUAAGAAACUCAAGACUACAUCCUCAACAAACAACUUUGCAGUAUUCAGAUUUACAUUACACUGCCCUUCAUUUUUUUAAACCAAAUAGCUUUAUUGAUAUUUAUUGCUUUUGUAGUUGUUAUAACUGAAUUAAAAAUGUGUUUGUAGUUUAUGUUUUCAGAGGGUUUUGGUAGUAUUUGUGAUAAAAUGGUUUUGCAUAUGAUUAUUAUAGGGGAUAUGUUUGUAGAGCUCUACUUGUGUAUCUUGUUGAAUUAUACUGAAAAUGAGAAGUUCUCAGCCCAUACAGUUAAUAUUUGUAUCUAGAGUGCUUAAGAAAAAGAUCUGUCUUAUAUGUUUAGCUUAUAGGAGCCAGUGUUGCUUCUAUUUGUUUUGAAUACAAAUUCCAUUUUUCCUUGCAUUUUAGAUCCUACGUAUAAGAAACAACUUUACAGAAUAAUUUAUAUGCUGGUAAUAAUUGGACAAGAACCGUAAUUUCAUGUAUACUGUACUUUCUGAAUCAACUUUUCUCUAAUCAUAGCAAAAUUUAUUUCAAAAUUACAACUCUUUGAACUGUUCAGCUGUAAUAAAAUUUAGUUAUAAAGUUA